CUCUCUUCUUCUCUCCCCCUCUCCCUCCAUCCCUCUCUCCCUCUCUCUCUCUCUCUCUCUCUCUCUCUGCAUUUAUUUAUGAUAAAGAGGAAAAAUGUUUCAAUCUUGACACUGUGUUCUAAUCCAAAGCACAGCCUAGCUAGGGUAGUGUAAGAGAGGGGGAGGCAACGCUUUGAUGAAUGUUGGUUGUUGACAGAAGAUAGAGAGCACAGAUGGGGAUGUGCAGCUGAUAUUUGCAUCUCUCUCCUUUGUGCUCUCUAUGCUUCUGUCAUCACCUCAAUUCAGCCUCCCUCCUCUCUCUCUCUCUCUCUCUCUCUCUCUCUCUCUCUCUCUCUCUCUCUCUCUCUCCCUGAUUUUCUUUUUUCUCAACCCCCUUUAGUGCCUAGUUUAAGAUCUUUGUUGGCUUUCUUGAAUUUCUCUUUCUCAUGAGAAGGAACUGAAUAGCUAUUGAUCUUUUCUCUGCAGAAUUUCCCCUUUACGCUUGCCAUACAGCUUAUUUAUUGUCUUGUUUUUCUUCUUUGUGCAGCUAGAAUUGGAAUGGAGGAGAAUUUAGAAAACUUUCAGGGGUUUUUUUUAAAGAACACUUGGGAUCUUUGCUUCAGCUUGGCUCUGCUUUCAUGAUGGUUAAAUUUCAUCUACCUCUCAAAGAAAGGAUUGAGGGUUCUCUUUGCAAAUCAUCAAAUGCUGGAUAUUUCUUCCGUCAAAUUGUCUGAUAUGUUAUCAACAAGAGCUUAUGACAUUGUCCGGCAAAACUGUUUUCUUGUUGAUGAUUACUACCAGCUGGGUAGACAUGGCAAAAGUUAUAAAACAACAGGCUGAAGCAUCCAUACUCAGCAACUCGUGUAAUUGCCAUUCUUAUCUGAAAUAUCUCCUUUUCAAUGGGUAUAAUAGCGAUAUGCUUAUAUUAUCAUAUUUGGAUGAAAAAAGACUCAGCUUUUUUAUUUACUCUUUUAUUACCACUUGCAAAUUCACAGCUACUUGUGUGGUGCUGCUACUUUAAGGCCUCGUUAUUUGCAACAAGGCUCGUUGCGCCAGUGAAGAAGACCUGAAACUAAUGCAUCACUGAAGCAUCUGAAACAAGAAAGCUUCGCAUUUCUUUUCUUUUUUUCUUGAUUCAAGAAGAUCCAAAACUAAUGAAAUGCGUUGCGCCGGUGCUGCUAGGUGAUUUUGCAUAUGUAGUUUCUUGUCUCAAGUCUUUGAGAGCAUCGUCUAUGAAGGCACAAAUAUUUACACUUCUCUGCAAUAUGAGCCGUACAGACUGUAAAAGUGGAUUAGCAUAAUCCCAUUGUUCCAAACUAAAAUCAUGGAUCAUACCAUGCAGGUAUAAUUCAAUAGGUUUCUGUAAGUGUCAAAGAACUGUUGGUAGAAUAAACGAAUGGUGACCUUUUCUCCCACG